rnacentral:rRNA from 1 species
GUCCACGCCCUAAACGAUGGGUACUAGACGUCGGGAAGCUUGUCUUCUUGGUGUCGCAGCUAACGCAAUAAGUACCCCGCCUGGGGAGUACGGUCGCAAGAUUAAAACUCAAAGGAAUUGACGGGGCCCGCACAAGCGGUGGAGCAUGUGGUUCAAUUCGAUGCAACGCGAAAAACCUUACCUGCCCUUGACAUCUGGGGAAUCCUGCAGAGAUGCGGGAGUGCCGCAAGGAACCCCAAGACAGGUGCUGCAUGGCUGUCGU